rnacentral:rRNA from 1 species
GACGAACGCUGGCGGCGUGCUUAACACAUGCAAGUCGAACGGUAAGGCCCUUCGGGGUACACGAGUGGCGAACGGGAGAGUAACACGUGGUUGAUCUGCCCUGCACUUCGGGAUAAGCCUGGGAAACUGGGUCUAAUACCGGAUAGGACUCCUGGCUUCAUGGUUGGGGGUGGAAAGCUUUUGCGGUGUGGGAUGGGCCCGCGGGCUAUCAGAUUGUCGGUGGGGUAAUGGCCUACCACGGCGACGACGGGUAGCCGGCCUGAGAGGGCGACGGGUCACACUGUGACUGAGAAUGGGCCCAGACCCCGAGCGGAGGCAGCAGUGGGGAAUAUUGCACAAUGGGCUCAAGACUGAUGCAGCGACGCCGCGUGAGAGAUGACGGCCUUCGUGUUGUAAACCUCUUUCAGCUAUGACGAAGCGCAAGUGACGGGAGUAGCAGAAGAAGGACCGGCCAACUACGUGCCAGCCGCCGCCGUAA